rnacentral:tRNA from 1 species
GGGCCCGUCGUCUAGCCUGGACUAGGAUGCGGGGUUCGGGUCCCCGUGAUCCGGGGUUCAAAUCCCCGCGGGCCCACCA